rnacentral:rRNA from 1 species
AUUGAACGCUGGCGGCAUGCCUUACACAUGCAAGUCGAACGGCAGCGCGGGAGCAAUCCUGGCGGCGAGUGGCGAACGGGUGAGUAAUAUAUCGGAACGUGCCCAGUAGUGGGGGAUAGCCCGGCGAAAGCCGGAUUAAUACCGCAUGAGACCUGAGGGUGAAAGCGGGGGAUCGCAAGACCUCGCGCUAUUGGAGCGGCCGAUAUCAGAUUAGCUAGUUGGUGGGGUAAAGGCCUACCAAGGCAACGAUCUGUAGUUGGUCUGAGAGGACGACCAGCCACACUGGGACUGAGACACGGCCCAGACUCCUACGGGAGGCAGCAGUGGGGAAUUUUGGACAAUGGGCGCAAGCCUGAUCCAGCAAUGCCGCGUGAAUGAUGAAGGCCUUAGGGUUGUAAAAUUCUUUUAGUGGGGAAGAAAAUGACUGUACCCACAGAAAAGCUCCGGCUAACUCCGUG